GCUUCCUCGUUCACUUCCCUCUCUACUCUGUCGAAGAUGAAGAAAGAUCCAGAAGCUGCUUGCUGCAAAGGUGUGAGAAGAGGUUGGAACUCUCCACAUAAGAUAUUCAAGAAAGAUCAAAGAUGAACAAGAAUGAAGGACUCUGGCAGGCUGGUCCCCAUGGUCAACUCACUGAAGUCUUCAAAGCAGCUGGAAAGUGCAGAGAGCUGGGACAUGACGUUUGAGGAAGGAUGCCACAUGGACAUCGUACAUGGCUGUUUGCAGUGGAUUCUUGAAGAGGGAGGCACCCAUUGAAGCCUCAUGGUCCAUUGAGUACCUCAGCAGCAUACUCGAUGUUCUGGUCAAAGGUACCUGGCUUUGGAAAUUGUAGAAGAUGCUUCUCCAGACACGAGUUUUUGCACAGGGCCGAUCUGCCUGUCGGAGGAAUCAUUUGAAACACGAUGACUUGGGUCCGCAUUGAUGCAGAACUGAGGACAAAGGCAUCGGGACUGACAGGCUUUAUGCAGAGGUUAGAUGAUGCCAUCCAAUUCAUCUGUGGGGGAGCGGUGCAACACCUGGGACUGCUGCAGGUUUCAUGAUUGUGUCGGGAACUGCACCAACACCUAGGACUGCUGCAGUCUGGCAGUGUGAACUCAUCACUCAUCUUGUGCUGCGUCAGCUCAGACUCCAGACAGAACCUGGGUGCCAUCAUGAAGAUCCAUCAGCUGUGUUCAGCUGCCAGCAUGAUGACUGCAGUUCCUCAUGUCAUAUUCAUGUUGCAGUGAUUUUUCAUUUGAAUUGUGUUAAGAUGUCUGGGAUGGUUUAAUGGUGUGAAUUUCAAAUAAAGCACUGUUUCAGUACA